CACUCCUACGGGAGGCAGCAGUGGGGAAUUUUGGACAAUGGGGGCAACCCUGAUCCAGCAAUGCCGCGUGAGUGAAGAAGGCCUUCGGGUUGUAAAGCUCUUUUGUCAGGGAAGAAACGGUGGUGGCGAAUAACUACUACUAAUGACGGUACCUGAAGAAUAAGCACCGGCUAACUACGUGCCAGCAGCCGCGGUAAUACGUAGGGUGCAAGCGUUAAUCGGAAUUACUGGGCGUAAAGCGUGCGCAGGCGGUUGUGUAAGUCAGAUGUGAAAUCCCCGGGCUCAACCUGGGAAUUGCAUUUGAGACUGCACGGCUAGAGUGUGUCAGAGGGGGGUAGAAUUCCACGUGUAGCAGUGAAAUGCGUAGAUAUGUGGAGGAAUACCGAUGGCGAAGGCAGCCCCCUGGGAUAACACUGACGCUCAUGCACGAAAGCGUGGGGAGCAAACAGGAUUAGAAACCCUGGUAGUCCCAUG
rnacentral:rRNA from 1 species